AUUAUUUUAAGAUUAUUUUUUAUUGUUGAAAAAAUUAAAAAUAAAUUGUUUUUAACAAAAAUUAAAAUUUAUAAUAUUUCAUUUUUUGGUUUUUUGUUUUAAAUUAAAAUAAUAAAUAUGGGGGAAAAAAAAAUUUUGUUAUAAAUUAUAUUAGUUUAUUUUAAUUAAAAAUAUUUUUUAUUAAAUUUGUUUUUUUUAUUUUUUUAUAAAAAAUAUUAAUUUAAUUAUUAUUAUUGAGUUUAAUUUAGUUAUUUUUAAAAAAAUUUUGUAUAAAAUAAAUUUGAUAAUAAAUGUUUUUUAAAUUCUUUGGGGGUUUAGUUUAUGAUUUUUUGUUUCUGCUCAUUGUUAAAUAAAAUU
rnacentral:rRNA from 1 species